AUCUGGGACUACAGUGCAUGCCACCAUGCCUGGCUAAUUUUUUGUGUUUUAAUAGGGACAGGAUUUCACCAUGUUGGCCAGGAUGGUCUCGACCUGUUGACCUCGUGAUCCGCCCGCCUCGACCUCGGAAGAGUGUUUUUUUUUUAUGCAGCUAAAAUACACAGAAUGAAACAAUGGUUACCGCUGUUGGUGGGGGGAAGAAGAGGAAAUGGGGGGAUGUAGGUCAAGGAUACAAAAUAGCAGAUAUGUGGGAUGAACAAGUUUAGAGAAACAGGGGACCAAAGUUAGUAAAAUUGUAUUAGAGAUUUUUGUUAAAUAGUAGAUUUUAGCAGCUCUUGUUAAAAAAUAAUUAUGUGAAAUGAUAGCUAUGUUAAUCUGCUUCACCAUUUUGCUAUCUAUAUUCCAUAGCAUGCUGUAAACCUCAAAUAUGCACAGUGAAAUUUAGUUUAAAAAAAAUUAGAGUGAAAUAAAAUGUGUAAGUUCUUUACAGUCUUAUAAGUCUUAUGAGUAUAGGUGUUAACUUUGAAAUCUUAUCAGAAAAAGUAUAUGACAUUUGAUAGAUUAUACAUUUCAAUUUUUAUGGAGCAUAUUUUAUUUAAUUUAUUGAAUUUGAAGCAGUUUGGAUUCUUUUCAUCCUUCACCUUCAGCAUGUACCAGAAAUUCCCAGACAUAAAGGAGCUUUGUGUUCUUACAUAAAUUAUACUAAUCUAAAACCACAUUUAAAAAGCAGUUUUACCUAUAAGAAAUUAUGGAAGUCAUUACAGUGUGUUACUGUCCUAAACCUAUGGUCAUGUACCUUUUUAUGUGCCUCAGAUGCAUGUUGGAGGUGGUGGAAGGCAGAUUAGUAGAGAACUUGGAAAGAAGGGAAGGAUCAUUUGCAUUGGACAGUAGUGUUCCACAGUAGAAAUUGAUGUCUGGGAGAAUGCCCCUCAAGCUUUCCCCUUUUCACUUUAAGAAGCUUUGCUUCCUCUCACUUUCAUAGCAGAUCUAUAUUAGAUAAAACAUUAGUGGUUAUUAUAACAAAAAUAAACUUACAGUUGGAUGAUCACUAGUAUCCGAGACAGUGGAAAUGACAUGAGUGAAGAAAGGCUGCUUCAGACCAUUAUUAACUGGUGACUUGAUGUUUUUCUUUUUGCUUGCUGAUGGUGAUCCUUGUCCCUAUUUCAGACCAUGCUUUUCCCAUCAGUGAUGCUCUUAUACUAAUAAACAUAUUCCAAGGGCAGACAGGUACACUAAAUGGGCUUAUUCUUAUCUUUCAAGACCAAGAUUAAAACUAUCCGAAUGAGUCUUCACUGAUUACUAAAACCAGAUGGCCAGUCAGCAUCUGAAUUUCUAAAUCAUUCUGUAUUAUUCAUGAGACAGCACAUUCCCUUAAAUAUUAAUGUUUGGGUCUGUAACUCUUUUUCACUCCUCUUUCCUCAUACCUAUGGGUACAUACUCUUAAUAUCAUGUUUUUAAACUGCACUGGGUAAUGGGUGGUGUGGAGGAUGCAAUGGAGUGAUAUCGGGCCACCCAGACCCGCUUAAAGCAGAGCCAGUGUGUUACAGGAUUAAAAUACUUACUGAUAACUCUUUUUUUUUUUGACAUGGAGUCUCGCUCUGUCACUCACCCAGACUGGAGUGCAGUAGUGUGAUCUCCGCUCACUGCUGCAACCUCUGCCUCCUGGGUUCAAGCAAUUCUUGUGCCUCAGCCUCCCAAGUAGCUGGGACUACAGGUAUGUGCUACCAUACCUGGCUAAUUUUGUAUUUUUAGAAGUGACAGGUUUUGCCACGUUGGUCACGCUAGUCUCAAACUCCUGACCUCAAGUGAUCCCCCACCCUCACCUCCCAGAGUACUGGGAUUACAGAUGUGAGCUACUAUGCCCAGCCUUUAAUGACUCUUAAAUUCCCUGAAUGCAUCUGUGUAUCGUUACCCCUACCCCCACCCCUGGGAUGCCUAGCAAAGUUCCUUGCUCAUCAUUUUUGAAAAUAUCAUACAUUAUUGGAUUUUUUGUUUUCAAACAUUUUAAUUAAUCAUUCACAUGACAUCUUAGCUGGAAGUGAAAUGUUCCAUCUAUGCUCCUCUGUACUGCUACCUCCCUAUUCUGGCCUCUACUUUUCACUGGCCUCUUAGGAUCUACAGAGUUGAUUGAAAUUGAGUGAUCUGCUAAGGUUAAUCUGACUUUUCUGGUAUUCUGAGGUUAUAAAUGACAGGUUUUAGGCUUGGACUCCUAAGAUUGUUCCCUGCCACAGGAGAUAGCCUGGUAUGAAAUUGGACUGGUAUAUUUUCUUGCAUGUGUAUUCCUGUUUUUCUGAUUCAAUUCUUUUCCCUUUUUAGAAGCCACUGACUCUUUAAAAAGCCUGCAAUCUUUCUGUCAUGUAGCUAGUUUUUUCUUUCUUUUUUUUUUUUUUUUUUUUUAAGCUGCCCUAUUAGCCGUUCUAUAGUAGCUGUGACUACCCUUUGAGGACGGGGGGAGAAAUGAAAAAUGUUGACGCAGCUAAUACGGGAUUGUUCUUUAAGGGGUCUCUUAGUCACAGUACUGUGACUGUAUUAUAUGUGAUCUGAAGAGAAUCUUAGAAUAUUUCCACCAGAAAGGUUCUUGGAAAUAAACUAGUUCUCUUUAUAAAAGUGGAAUCCCAGGUCACCAUAAAUGACUUGUCUAGAUUCAUGUAACUUGUCAGUGGCAGCCAGGAACCUGUCAUGCUCAGCAUAGAAAUCAGACUAUCAAGUACUAUGACAGUUAAGGAGGAAUAUUCUGCUAUUUGGAACCAUAUACAACUUUCUACAGCCCAGUCAAGAUGUAGGAAAUUACUUCUUACUUGGGAGAAAGGCACCAGUGAGCAGUGUUACAAAGCUUAAUUGGAGUGAUUCUUGGUAAGAAGCGAUAUGGUACUUGUAGAGUACACAAAACCUAAAAUUGCAGGAGGAAAAUCUUGUUUCUUAGUUAAGUGUAGGUGUAAAGAGUACCUUUUAACAUCAGAAAUCAAAAGGAAAUUGAGUAUUUCAGAGGCCCAUUGGGACUUUUGGAGUUCAGGGCAGGCAAAGAAAAUCUUUAGAAAAGAUUUUAAGCAGCCUAAUUUUUAGGUGCUUUGCCACAUUUUCUUCUGCUAGUUCAUCUUUACACGUCAUUAGAUAGGCUUCUGGAGAAUAGAGUGUGUAAAUUUAAGUAAUAAAGAUGAAUCAUUUAGCAAUACAGUUGCUCUUAGGUACAAUUAUGUGAUGGAUUAUGGGGGUGGGAUGGAAUAGGGGAAUUUGUGGCCUAAUAGUUAGUUCCCUUUUGCAUGGGGACUGGGACAGUAAUGCUUCUACAUAUGUGUUAGGCCUUAAUAGUUUUCCAAUUGCUUCAAGACAGGUUAGCUAAUUGGAUCUUCACAGAAACUCUAUGAGGUAAGCAGGGUAGGAAGAAGGCAGAUUAUUGGUUUAUAGGUGAAGACUCUGAGGUUGGAUUAUUUGCCAAGAUCACAUGGUUAAUAAGGGCAUAUCCUGGGCCAGAGCCUAAAUCCCUUCACUCCCAGCUUUCUAAGUACUGAUAGAUGUUUGCUGAUGAUGGUGUGAAGUUGUAUGAUUUAGUGUUUUUUUGAGACAUACAAAUCCCUGUAGUAAAAUUCUUUCCACUACUAUGAAAGAAGCUCAAAAAGCUUAAAAUAGUCACUUACUGCUUCCAAAAGUACCACAGAAAACCAGGAAUCUGUAUUCAUUGCCUAGCCACUUGAUUCUAUGGCAAAGAUUUUGAAACUCUGGGAAAAGCUCUGUGUCAUCUUGUUUUAUGUGUCAUGACUGUUAAAAUGCUAGAGAAAAUAGCAAAAGGCCAGUUAAAUCUGUGUCUGCUCAAAUGAGACACGGGGCAAGAGUGUGGAAAAUCCAGAACAAGAUUCCUUGAGAGAUCAUCUAGACCCUGUUCUUUCUAGUCACAGGUAUAGUUGUGAUUAAUAUGACAUUAAUCUUUUGCACAAUUUCAUUCUUGGAUUCAGCCAUCUGCUUUAACACCUCUGUUUUGUAACCUAUAAUAAUUUUAUGAUGUUUGUUUUGAGGUUAUGAUUCUUAGCUUAAGAAUAGAUUUAAUUUUUAAACCUUGGAUAAAACUAAUUUUCAUUCUUCUGGUUCAAUUGUGGAACAAAUUCAGGUUAAGUUGCCUUCCAGCUCUUUUAUCUAAAGUAGUAUUAGUAGUAUUACAGUGCUAAGUGAAAAAUAGACAUUAGAAUUUCACCAUACUAAACAAUCUCCCAAGAGUAAUAUGAGGAGGGAAAGUGUUCCUUUUAAAAAUCAUGCUUCUAGGCUGAGCAUGGUAGUUCAUGCCUGUAAUCUCAGCACUUUGGGAGGCCAAAGCAGGACAAUUGCUUGAGCCCAUGAGUUUGAGGUUACAGUGAGCUGUGAUCUCAUUACCUGCUACAGUACUCAAAGUUCAGAUGGUCAUUCAUUGGAGCAUGUGAUAUUUUGGAGUAUAGACCUUAAGUGAUUAUGGCAUAUCAAAAUAAUGUGAUCUUAUAUUUCUUUAUUUUUUAUUGCAUAUUUCAUUAAAUACACUUCUGUUAACAGCCUGCUAUAUAUAUCAGGCAUUCUGAUAAGUGUUAGAAGUACAAAAAAAGAAUAAAGCAAAAAUAGUUCUGCCCUCACAAACGAGUAAAUAAAUGAUUCCUCUCUAGUGUGAUUAGUACUGAUAGAAGUAUGCCAUUUUGUGUGUACAUCAUUACUACUUUCUUUCUUAAGAUUAGGCUUUUUUAGUUAGGUUCUUGAAGUUAUGGACCUUCUAGAUGGAAAAUACAUGUCAUAUAUGCCAUCUAUCCUCCUCUAUGGCCAAUAUCCAUGAUCUCUCAUAACAUGAUGUCCUGAUUAAUUUAGCCUCAGAGUUCUUGAAACAGCAUUAUCAGUCCUGAUAGCUCUUGUCAAACAAUUGAAAUUGGCGUUGUUAUUAUUAGCCUAUUUUCUAUCCUCUGGUACCUAUUUGGGUUAUAAGCUUAUAACUUUUAAAUUAUAAGUUUUGGUAUCAAAAGGAAUAUUUUUUGGGUGGUUUUGCUCUGUCACCCAGGCUGGAGUGCAGUGACAUGAUCUUAGCUCACUGCAGCCUCUAACUCCUGGACUCAAGCAAUUCUCCCACCUUAACUUCCCGGGUAGCUAGGACUACAGGUAAGCACAACCAUGCCUGGCUAAUUUUUGUGUUGUUAGUAGAGAUGGGUCUUGCUAUGUUGACUAUGCUGGUCUUGAACUCUUGGCCUCAAGCAGUUCUCCCUCCUUGGCUUCCCAAAUUAAUGGGAUUACAGGUGUGAGCCACCAUACCUGGCCGGGUUUAUUCAGUUUAAGUUGUUGGCAGACCAGUGCCUGACAGCAGGUUUUUCUCUAGAUACCCUGGGUUGGGGUACUGUAAACAGAGACUGGCUGGGUGUGGUGUCUCAUGCCUGUAAUCCCAGCACUUUGGGAGGCUUAGGUGGGAGGAUUGCUUGAAGCCAGGAGUUGGAGACCAGCCUGGGCAACAUGACAAGAUUCUAUUUCUACAAAAAAUAAAAUUAGCCAGGCCUAGUGGCAUGUGACUGUAGCCCCAGCUACUCAGGAAGAUGAGGUGGGAGGAUUGGUUGAGCCCAGGAGUUGAAGGCUGCGGUGAGCUAUGAUCACACCACUGCACUCCAGCCUGGGUGAACUCAGCUACUGGUGGUUAUGUGUAAUUUGGUUAUAACCUACUUACACAUUAUGGCCAAGGAACUGUAAGUAUCAGGUUCCUCCCAAAAGUACAUUUUAUUUACUUUUGAAGACUUUUUCUCCAGGUUUUGGCAUUAAUUUUGACCAAAUUUUACCUAAAGGAAAGACAGGAUCAGUAGAGAACAAGCUUGUAAAAUUUGCUGAGUGUCUUCACUGUGCUAAGAAUGAACUUUUUUUUUUUUUUUUUGAAACGGAGUUCUUACUCUAUUGCCUAGGCUGGAGUGCAGUGGUAAUAUCUUGGCUCACUGCAACCUCCGCCUCCCAGGUUCAAGUGAUUAUUCUGCCUCAGCCUCCAAGUAGCUAGGAUUACAGGUUCAUGCCACCAUGCCCAGCUAAUUUUUACAUUUUUAGUAGAGACAGGGUUUCAUCAUGUUGGCCAGGCUGAUCUCAAACUCCUGAACUCAAGUAAUCCACCCACCUCAGCCUUCCAAAGUGCUGGUAUUAUAGGUGUGAGCCAUUGCACCCGGCAUUAUGCCUCCAUUUUGAUCACAGCCCAACACAAGGUCUUGUGUGGAAUUUUCUACUGUGGUGUCAUGUGGGUACUCAAAAAGUUUCAGAUUUUGGAGCAUUUUGGAUUAAAGAAUGCUCAGCAUGUGGUGGUUCAUAACUCUGGCUGCUCAUUAGAUCACCUGUGAGGCUUUGGAAAAAACAGACCAAAACAAACAAAAACCCAACCACCAAUAUCUAGUUCCUUUGCCUAGAGAGUCUGUCUGAGUAUGUAGUCUAGGUAUCUGUAUUUUACAUUAAGAGACCUCGCAUACUGGUGAAACUUAACUUGUCACACAUUAGUGAUUCCAGAGUAUAGCCAGGAUUGUGUAAAAGCAUCUCCUAACAGAGUAUCUGACAAGACUUCAUGGAGAGUGAUGUUUAAAUGGUGAGAGGAAGAUGACCAGUAGAUUGCCCUGAGGGGAAGGAGGCAUUCUAGCCAUGUAGGACAGCGUGGAAGAAGUCUCUGAGCUGGAAACAAAGCUGUCAGGUGAAGGGCGUUUAAAGCAGACGGAGGGAGGGUGAUGAGGAAGAUAUGGAAGGAGGGGUAAUCUGGGGCACCCUAUUAAAGACCUGGAAGCAGAGGUAAGGUAAGGCUCUUGGAAUUAAUUUCUAGGACACUUGGACACUACUAUAGGACUUAAUCUCCUAAGAGCAGUAAUAGGAGUUAGUAAGUGAUUAGUGAUAGAUUAGAAGGAGAGUAGUAUUGAAAAUGAGAGAUAGCAUGGAUAAGAUUGCAUCAGUCUAGAAGUGUGAGCAAUAAUUAAGGAACAGAUGAUAUGCAGAACACACUGCAAGAAGAGUUGAUGUUAUAUUGCAAUAUAUCACUUGUGUUGAAUAAAGGGCAGAUGAGUUAAAAGGAAAGGACUUAACAUUUAGAAAGUCUUAGUGUAGGUUUUAAAAUCUCUUCAGUUUUAUUUAAUCAACCUGACCCUAUUCAAGAUACAGUGUAGAGGACUGAGAGCCUAUGAAGGUAAUAUCAAAGAGAGCAUCCAACUCAGGCUGCAUAUAGUUUUUGCCACUAAUAACCUAAAAGUAAGUGAGUUUCAGGUAUAAAUCACUUCCAUUAAAUGUUUACCUGCAGUGGGAAUUUACUUAAGCUAUAACUAAAUACUUUGCCUUCUUAAUACUGAGCUGUAGUGUGUUACCCAAGACUUUCUCUGAAUUCUUGUAACGGAAUGAGAAGGAAAAGCAGCCACAAAGAAUAUGGCUUCAGCUUUUUAAGGGAUAGGAGGGCUUUAUUUCUUGAAUGCAGCUGCACUUUUUCACUUUUUCUUUGCUAUUUUAGCCUAUUUUUUUCUGUCCUGGCAGUUGCCUUCUCUUUUUCAUCCUUAGGAUUCUAAGCACCAUUUCAGUAUUCAGAAUCUCUUAACUGUGGUUUGCAAAAAAAGAGGUAAGCAAGGGAUAAAUAGGCACAGCACAGAGGCAGUGAAAUUAUACGUUAUGAUACUAUAAAGGUGGAUACAUGUUGUGAUACAUAUGCCAAAAUUUAUAGAAGGUGCAAUACCAAGAGUCAACUCUAAUGUAAACUAGGGACUUUGGAUGAUAAUGGUGUGUCAAAUUAGGUUCAUCGAUUGUAAAAAGUGUACCUGGUGUGGGGCAUUGGUAGUGGGGGAGGCUAUGUAUAUGUGGGGUCAAGGAUUAUAUGGGAAAUCUCUCUACCUUCCACUCACUUUUUCUGUGAACCUAAAAAAGAUUGGGGAGAGAGUAUGCAAACUUUAGGAGUUAAAAGUCAAAACCACUCUUGAAAUAAUGGACCAAUUAAUGACAAAAAAAUUAUAUUUGAUGAAUGAGGAUCAAUCAUAGGUGUACAAUUAAAAUAAAAUUUUGCUGUUCAUUUUUGUCAUGCAUAGUGAAUUGGCCAAUGUAAGAAGAAAAAAAAGUUUAAUGAGCUAUAGUAUUGUAAAAAGGAUUCACAUAUGUAUGGCAACUUUAGCCCUUCCCUUUUUUUUACAUGGAUAUAUUUGAGUUUAUAGUUCAAAUGCUGUGACAGAUGGUCAAGCAAUGUUUCUAGCAGUCUCAGCCUUGAGAUCAGCUGUUGAAUUUAACUACAGGUUUACCUGUCUAGUUGGGAGGAUUACUAGGUGGCCAGGAAUUGAGAUAAUCCUGGUCAACAUAGCAGCACCCCAUCUCUUUAAAAAAGAAAAGUGUGUUGGGGGUGGAAACAGCAUUAAAUUUUUUUUUUCCCCUGGUAGUAUGUUUAAUUGUGUAAUUUACUAUGGUCUUCUAAACAGAAAUGGAUAUAGUGAUUACCUGUAAGAUUUUUAUGAAAUGAGAACAAAUUAGGGGCCCUAAUUAGUAGGUAAAUCUUAGAAUUUAACCACAUAAACUUUUCAUGAAAUACUACUGUUGGUCAAAACUGCUUAUAUUGUUAUAAUGAGGAAGUUGAAUUGUCCAAGGUCAUACAUAAAUAAGUAGCAAAUCUGAGAUUAGGACAUAGAUUGUCUGCCUCCAAAAUCCUCUAGACACUAAUUCAUUGUAGAGUUUUUUGUAUACUAUUAAUGUUCCUGGCAUUGGAAGUCAAAUAAUUAAUUACAUAAUGCUUUUCCUUUCUAGGGUAUAGUUUUAUUAAUCAGGUGUUUUUAUUAAUCCAACUAGUAUUUGCUAUAUGGCCAUCAUAUGUCCCUUCAUCUGAUUUCUUUGAAGAAUUAGAUGAAGGGACUUUUCUCUAGAAGAAGUUAGUCAGUUAAAACAAAAUAAUAAGUAGUUAUUGCACUCAAUACAAAUGCUCUUUGGCUCUGUAAUUUCUUUUGAGAAAGACAUUCUAGUUUUCUCCAGUCUCUUGCUGUUGCCUAAUCCUAGCCUCCCACAGUGCUGGGAUUAUAGGCGUGAGCCACUGUGCCAGCCAUGAAUUUAUUUUAUAAGCCUAUUGCUUGAAAUUGUGUUGGGAUUAUAUAUGGAUUGUGUGUUUAUUUUUAAAAUUAUUGCUGAUACCGAGAGUUGACUAUAACUUGGCCCUAAGUAUAUAGCAAGUGCUUUCUUUAUAUGCUCUUUGGUUGCAGUUUUAUUGAGAGUGAUAACAUUGCUUUUAAUGUUACAUGCUUUCUUGGGUUUUUAUUAAGAACAAUUCCUUAAUUAAAAAUAAGUAGAACUUUUUUUCCUUCUGUUCCUCAGGUUUUUCCUUUUUAAUCUUUACGGGUGCUUCUUUCUCCAUUCCCUUUAAGUAUUGAUGUUCCUCAGGGCUUGAUCCUACUCCUGCAGUAUUUCUCACAUAGUAUUCUCUUUCUGGUAAACUAAAUGCUUCUUUUUAGCCCAUGUUGGCUACAGAUAUCUACUGUUUGUAUGUGUCAUGGAUUACUGAAUAUCUCCUCUUGGAUGUCUUAUAAACACUCAAAUUCAGCAUGAUCAUAGCUCACUGCAGCCUUACCUCCCAGGCCCAAGUGAUUCUCCUACCUCAGAUUCCUCAGUAGCUAGGACCACAGGUACAUGCCACCUUGCCUGGCUACUUUUUUUUUUAGGGGGGUUUGGGGUUGGGGAGAAACAAGAUCUCACUAUGUUAUCCAGGCUGGUGAAACUCCUGGGCUCAAGUGAUCCUCCGGCCUCAGCCUCUCAAAGUGCUCAGAUGACAGGCAUAACCCACCGUGCUCAGUCAAUAUUUAUCUUUUUAUUGUUGAGGUAUAAAAAUUAUGGGGCCAGACACGGUGGCUCACACUUGUAGUCCCAGCACUUUGGGAGGCGAAGGCGGGUGGAUCAAGAGGUCAGGAGUUCAAGAUCAGCCUAGCCAACAUGGUGAAACUUGGUCUCUACAAGUACAAAAAAUUAGCUGGGCGUGGUGGCGGGCGCCUAUAAGCCCAUCUACUUGGGAGACAGAGGCAGGAGAAUUGCUUAAACCUGUGGGAGGUAGAGGUUGCAGUGAGCCGCACUGCACUCCAGCCUGGGCAACAGAGCGAGACUCUUGUCUCAAAAAAAAAAAAAAGUUCUGGAUACUACAGCCUUAUCUGAUACAUGCUUUACAGAUUUUUUUUUCUCAUUCUGGAGGUUAUAUUUUCCCUUUAUUGAUAGUAUCCUUUGAAGCACAAAAAGUUUUAAUUUUGAUAGUUAUCUAUUUUUUUCUUUUUUUGCUUUUGCUUUUGUUACAUCUAAGAAAACAUUGUCUAAUUCAAGAUGAGACCUACCUUUAUGUCCUACCACUCAUGUAGGGACCUAAAAUGUUUAUGUUCGACCUUUUAACAGAAAACAAGUAAGUAUUUGUCAGCAAAUACACUGCAAUUCUUUGGUGAAGAAUGAACUAGACCUUGAAAUACCUUGCAACUCUAGUCUCGAAGUCAUCACUUUGUUACCAGAGUUGAAGGGUGGAAGAAAGUUGCCUGUUAUCUGUAUAAUUACACAGAUAUGUGCAUAUGUGGUGUAAUGUAUCAGUAUUUAUAGAGACCGUAGUAAGCACAGCACAAAACCAGGCAUAAAGAGAUACGUGGGAAAUAGAGUUUGAAUUUGAAUAUGGUAAAGAUUGUUUUAUGAUUUUAGGGUUUUUUCCAUAUGCAUAUCUUUAAUGUUACUUUAAAAUAGAUAAGUGGAAUGUGAUUCAAUUUAGUAAAAAAAAAAAACAGCUUUAUUAAAACAUCUGAGAAAAAUAGAAAAUAAAUGUAUUAGAAAAGGUUUUUAACAAGGAGAAUGUUAAAAACAUAUAAAAUUGGCCAGAUGCAACAGCUCACACCUGUAAUCUCAGCAUUUUGGAAGCCUGAGGUGGGCGGAUCACGAGGUCAGGAGUUCGAGACCAGCCUGAGAAACAUGGUGAAACCCUGUCUCUACUAAAAAUAAAAAAAUUAGCUGAGUGUGGUGGCAGGAGCCUGUUUAAGCCCAGCUACUCGGGAGGCUUAGGCAGGAGAAUUGCUUGAGCCUGGGAGGUGGAGGUUGCAGUGAGUGGAGAUUGUGCCACUGCACUCUAGCCUGGGUGACAGAGCAAGACUCUGUCUCAAAAAAAAAAAAAAAAAAAAAAAAAAAACAAAAUUUUAAAUUUAUACAUACUGACGUAAAUACUGAUGAGUUGAUAUGCUAGCUAGAGUUCAUUUCAAAAUAAUCCAGUUGUGGUGAUAGAAGUGGCAGUAGGAUUGACCAUCUGUUGAAAAUUAGUGAAGCUGAAUGUAGGGGGUUAUCAUCUAUUGUGCAAGUUUGCAGUUUUUCCUAAUGCUUUAAAUUUUUUUGCUGGGUACAGUGGCUAGUGCCUAUAAUCCCAUCACUUUGGGAGGUCAAGGUGGGUGGAUCGCCUGAGCCCAGGAGUUUGAGACCAGCCUGGGCAACACGGCAAAACCUCAUCUCUACAAAAAAAUACCUUGCAAAAAUUAGCCAAGCAUGGUGGUAUGUACCUGUGGUCCUAGCUACCCUAGUGGCUAAAGUGGGAGGAUCACUUGAGCCCCAGAGGUUGAAGCUGCAGUGAGCUGUGUUUAUGCAGUGUGCUCCAGCCUGGGUGAUAGAGGGAGACCGUGUCUCAAAUAAAUAAAUAAAUAUUUGUAAAUGAAAAUUCUUCUUCAAAAUGCCUCUGCACACAAUCCCAUUUGCAAUAGCCACAGAAAGAAUAAAAUACCUAGGAAUAUAGCUAACCAAGGAGGUGAAAGAGCUCUACAAUGAGAAUUACAAAACUGCUGAAAUAAAUCAGAGAUGAUACAAACAAAUGGAAAUCAUUGCCAGGCACGGUAGUGCGUGCCUAUAGUCCCAGCUACUCAGGAGGCUGAGGAGGGAGGAUGGCUUAAGACCAAGAGUUCUGGGCUGUAGUACGCUAUGCCAGUAGGGUGUCUACACUAAGUUGGGCAUCAAUAUGGUGACCUCCCGGGAGCAGGGGACCACCUAAGGAGGGGUGAACUGGCCCAGGUCAGAAACGGCCCAGGUAAAAACUCCCGUGCUGAUCAGUAGUGGGAUUGCACCUGUGAAUAGCCACUGCACUCCAGCCUGAGCAACAUAGGGAGACCCCGUCUUAAAAAAAUAAUAGGAAGAUAUUCCAUGACCAUGGAUAGGAAGAAUCAGUGUUGUUAAAAUGGCCAUACUGCCCAAAGCAAUUUACAGAUUGAGUGCUAUUCCUAUCAAACUACCAAUGACAUUCUUCACAGAAUCAGAAAAGUCUCUUCUAAAAUGCAUAUGAACCAAAAAAGAGCCUAAUAGCCAAAACAAUCCUAAGCAAAAAUAACAAGGUAUCAUACUACCCCAUUUCAAACGGUACUGCAAAGCUGCAUUACAAAACAACACGGUACUGAUGUAAAAACAGACACAUAGACCAAUGAAAAAGAAUCAAGAACCCAGAAAUAAAGCAACACACCUACAACCAUCUGAUCUUCAGCAAAGUCAAUAAUAACAAGCAAUGGGCAAAGGACUCCUUAUUCAGUAAAUGGUGCUGGGGAACUGGGUACCCAGAUUGAAACUGGACCCCUUCCUUUCAGCAUACAGAAAAACUAACCCAAAUUGGAUUAAAGACUUAAAUCUAAGACCCCAAACUAUAAAAGCCCUGGAAGAAAACCUAGGAAGUAGCAUUCUGAGCAUCAGAUACCUUAUCAAAGAAUGUAUGCCCAAGUCUCCAGAACAAAACAAAAAAUGGCAAAUAGGAGCUAAUUAAAGAGCUUCUGCACAGCAAAAGAAGCUAUCAGCAGAGUAAACAGACAACCUGUAGAAUGGGAGAAAAUAUUCACAAACUAUGCAUAUGACAAAGAUCUCAUUUUCAGAAUCUAUAAGAAAAAAUUCAAGCAAAAAGCAAAAGUUUUAUUAAAAAGAGGGCACACUUAAUUUCUUAAGUUGCCUGCUUGUUCCUCUUCCAAGUUGUACUUUCCUUUCUUUGCCCUUGUAAAGCUUUUCUUUCUUUUUUUCUUUUUUUUUUUUUUUUGAGACCGACUCUUGCUCUGUCACCCAGCCUCGAGUGCAGUGGCGUGAUCUCAGCUCACUGCAACCUCACCUCCUGGGUUGAAGUGAUUCUUCUGCUUUGGCCUCCUGAGUAGCUGGGAUCACAGGUGCCUGCCACUGUGCCUGGCUAAUUUUUGUAUUUAUAGUAGAGAUGGGGUUUUUGCUGUGUGGCCAGGCUGGUCUCAAACUCCUGAUCUCAGGUGAACCACCUACCUUGGCCUCCCAAAGUGCUGAAAUUGCAGGCGUGAGCCACCAUGCCCAGCCAUAAAGCUUUUAAACUUUAAUUCCUGCUCAGAAAGAAAACAAAAAUGGGUAAAGUACAUGAACAGAUACUUCUCAAAAGAAGACAUACAUGUGGCAACAAAUAUAUGAAAGAAUGUUCAACAUCACUAAUCAUUUGAGAAAUGUAAGUCAAAACUACAACAAGGCUGGGUGCGGUGGCUCACACGCAAAUUCUGUAUUUUGGUUAGUGGAAACACCACUAACCAAUAUCCCCCUAUUCUGUAUUUUGGUUAGUGGAAACACCAUAUAUCUGGUUUCUCAAAUAGAAAUCUUACUGAUAUUGCCAUCUUCCCUCAUUCCUUGAAGAUGUUUGCUCCUGGCUCACCCACACUCUCAGCAAAUGACCUUGCAUGUCAUUUUACCACCAAGAAAUGCAAGCAACCAGAAAAGACCUACAAGUCUACCAUGUCUACCCAGCACUUUGGAAGGCUGAGGCAGGCAGAUUAUUUGAGCUCAGGAGUUUGAGACCAGCCUGGGCAACAUGGUGAAACCCCCUCUACAAAAAUGUGCCAAAAAUUAGCAGGGCAUGGUGGCACUGUGCUUCUAGCUACUCAGUAGGCUGAGGUAGGAGGAUUGCUUGAGCCAGGGAGGCAGAGAUUGCAGUGAGCCGAGAUCUAAACACUGCCUCAAAGAAAAAAAAACGAAAACCACUUGACCACUCACUUUUAGGCAUUGCUUCUAUUUUACUUGAUCUGUUAGCAGCAUUUGACAAAGUUACUUCACUCCCUUUUGUUUGAAAUAACUUAAUACCUUCACUUAGCUUAUAUGACUACUCCUCUGAUUUUUCUUCUUUUUCUCUGUUAACUUCUUGAUCUCCUCUGCUGGUACCUCAUUUCCCUUACUUCUCUACAGAACUUUAAAGAUCAGGACUUCUACUCUCAUUGUCUUGGUGGUCACAUCCACUUUGAUCAUCUUAAAAAUACUGUCUAUAUUGGUGUUUUACAAACUUUUUUUUUUUUAUUAAUGCUCUGUGCCUUUUGACUUCUUUAUUGCCUAAUCACCCCAUCCCAAUACAAAUUUCUGUACAUCUAUUUAUAGGUUGUGGCCCAUUAUAAUAUCUAAGAUCUCCCCUUCCAAAGAGCCAAUUUUUACCACCUUGGGGAUAUCACCCCCUGAGAAUGCAUGAUUUGUUUUGACAAUCCCAAGCUUUUUUGUUCAACUUUGACCAUCUCCAGUGUAUUAGACAGCCUACUUCGUAUCUCAAACUUCAUACUUAAAAAACCAAACUCAAUCUGACUUUAGCCUUUCUUGCCACACAGAGCUUCAAUGAUCUCAUUCUUCUUUAUGUACCUUUUGCUCUAGCAGCACUGAAUUUUAAAUAUACAUUUUACCCUACUGGUAAAAGGGCUUAGAGGAGUGAUCAUUUAUUCUCCCAACCCAAAUUGGCCAGGUUUUGAAAGUAGAAAUUUCCAUGACUCUGGGCCACUACCAUCAUAGGCUUCCCAUAAGUAGAGUGGAGUAGGAGUUGGGAUGACAGAGUCCUGGGGGGAAUAGUAACAUUGCACUGACAGUUGAAAAACAUUCCACAAGAUGAUCCCUGUGUCCCUUUAGGAUAUAUGCAUAAGAGAAGGUGGUAUCUACAUGUAGCUGUGAAAAGUUCACAGAAUAGCACAGCUGUAUUGGUAUGGAAUUCCCUUUUGGGUAAAUAAAAAUUUAAGCCAGGGAGCAAUUAGAUAGCAUUGCUUGGUAUAUUCAGGAGAACAUCUGGGAAAGACAGUUCUUCAGAAUAUUGAACUAUUAGCAACAUGUUGCUGCAACAGCAUCACUGUAAAAGUCUUUGGUAUUCUAAACAGGAAAUCUUUUAUACUUUAACACAUGAGUAAAGAUACAUUUGGUAUAUUCUGUCACCCAUGGGAAUGUAGAUAUGAAGAAUAGCCUAUUAAGGCUCAUAGGUUCUGAGAUUGUUAGUUUGCUUGUUAAUAAACUUCAUGAAAUGUUAUUUCUAGUACUGUGGGGUUUUCUUGUUACAUUUUUACUGUUUCAGCUAGAAUCAUAAUCAUGUUACAUUGUGAAUUUAGAAUUUUGGUUUUUAUGUUCUCUUUACAAGUGGUUUGGGGGGUGGUUUAACCCUCCCUUCCCCCAACCCCAAAUAUGCUGAAUAACAUCAGGAAACUACAGUGAUUUAAUGUUUUUUAAUGCUGUCAUAGAUCCUUUAUGUCAUUUUUCUUAUUACUGUUAGGCAAAUUCAGAAUGAAACUUUUCUAAAAAGUUGUACAAUAGGCCUUUCUAAAUAAUAAUGCUACCUUAAUUGUUAGUGUGCAGCUCAACAAAUCUGAAACUUCGGCAUCCCCCAGAGGAACUGAGUGCUACUAAGUUUUCACAUCCUUUUUCAAAACAAUAGAUGAGGUAAGAAUUUGAAAAUUCAUAGUUUGUGGCCAGGUGCGUUGGCUCACACCUGUAAUCCCAGCACUUUGGGAGGCUGAGGUGGGCGGAUCACGAGGUCAAGAGAUCAAGACCAUCCUGGCCAACAUGGUGAAACCUUGUCUCUACAAAAAAAAAAAAAAAAAAAUUAGCUGGGCAUGGUGGUAAGCACCUGUAGUCCUAGCCAGGACUACUUACGAGGCUGAGGCAGGAACAUUACUUGUACCCGGGAGGCAGAGGUUGCAGUGAGCCGAGAUUGUGCCACUGCACUCCAUCCUUGUGCCUGGCAACAGAGCAAGACUCUGUCAAAAAAAAAAAAAAAAAAGAAAGAAAAUUCAUAGUUUGUUUCAAUAUGAAUAAAAUUUGUCCCAUUUUAAAGUUGUGUUUUUUUUAAUGAAAAUCUUAGGUAUAUCAUUUCCUUUUUUCUCUCCUCAUGUCAAACUUUUAAUGUCUAAGAAAGGAAAUACUAGAACUUUUAACUUGGUUAAAAAACAGUAACAUCUUAAGUGUGAUAAGCCAAAGAGAAAGGUCUCUAUGUUUGGCAAAAUCACAUUCCCCGGAGAUUUACUAAACAGCAACAGCACUGUUAACCAGUGUCAGCUGAGACAUUAUUUAUGUCCUUCUUGUUCCACUAAAACUAUUGAAGAAGUUGUAAUGCUACAUAGUCCUCAUGAAGGAUUCUUUUCCUCACUGCUUAGAUUAGCUAACACAACCUGAAUAUCAGAGUUUGAGACUUUGACUUCUGCUGGAUCUGUUGCUGCUCUGCUGUAUGAUCUCCAACAAAUCAAAUUUCUUUCUGUCCUCAUUUACUGGUCAGUGGCACCUAGGAAUAAAUUGACAUUUACUGUUAGAUUAUAAAUAAACUGCUUUGAGGUAGUUGGCAAAACCAAGAUACAAUGUAUGAAUACUAGUGUUGUAGUUAACGUUACUGUGUAGUUAACUUCCAUUUUCAAAAUAAUGCAUUUUUGUAGCAUCCUUGUCCUUUUAGUCUGUUUUAAAGCAGCAUUUGACAGUCUUUGUUUUUCUAAUUUUUCUCCAUUUUGCUGUUAUAAGAUCAUAAUAUUAUAAAUUUAUUAAAGAGGGGAAUUGUUGUCAUAUUCUUGAAACAUCCUUUUAGAAUUCUUUUAAUAAACUGAAGAAAGGAAUUGUAUCUGUUUUAAAAGACCAACCUUAAAACAAACCUCUUUAGAGAAUGAAAGCUAAUUAAUAUGUUUUACUAUGACUUAACUUGGAAAGAUGGCAGUAAAGUUUUUGAAUUUGCAUGCUACACUGGCAAUUGGUUCUAAUAACUAAAUAUACAAUUGAUUGGAACCACUAUUUAUGUAUUUAAUUAUUAUUUAAUAAAAAUGGGUCCAGGGACAGUGACUCAUGCCUAUAGACCCAGCACUCUGGGAGGUCGAGGUGAGCAGAUCAUGUGAGCCCAGGAGUUUGAGAGCAGCCUGGGCAACACGGCAAAAACCCAUCUCUACAGAAAAUACAAAAAUUAUCCUGGUGUGGUGGCAGGUAUGUCUGGUCCCAGCUACUUGGAAAGCUGAAGUGAGAGAAUCGCUUAAACCCACAAGGCAGAGGUUUCAGUGAUCUGAGAUGACACCAUUGCACUUCAGCCUGGGCGAGAGUGAGACCCCUGUCUCAAAAAAGAAAAAUGAGAAACUUAUUAUUUAAGACAGGUUUUAAUCAAUCACCUCAUGUGAAGUGGCGAAGGUUUUAUCAUCAGUGUGUUCUAAGAUAAUUUAUCUGGUGUGAAAUGACUUGGAAGAAAGUACUUCUUUUCAGGUAUCUGUUUACCAACCACUUUGAGUAAGCUUUUGUAUUUUACUCAUCUUCUGGAAACAACAUUGUUCUGCCAGACAUUUGGUCUGAAUGUGUGAUUUUAUAAUUCAGAGUAAUAUUUAUUUCUUUGUUCUCCUGAGAAUGGAUAUUUUAUGCAUGUUUCCCUCCUAGUCUCUGCUUGAAAGGUACAGGAGAUAACUAGAUUUUAUUAGUAUAUUUUUACAAGUCUAUUUAAAAUGCUUUCAAAUUAUUCGGUGGUAUUCUGAUUGAAAAUGGAAGGGGUUGCUAGAGGUUUUAUCAAGAAUAGAUACACUGGUGGCUCACGCCUAUAAUCCCAGCACUUUGGGAGGCCAAGGUGAGCAUAUCACAUGAGGUCAGGAGUUUAAGACCAGCCUGGCUGGCGUGGCGAAACCCCAUCACUGCUAAAAAUACAAAAAUUAGCCUGGUGUGGUGAUUCAUGCCUGUAAUCCCAGCUACUUGGGAGGCUGAAGCACGAGAAUCAUUUGAACCCGGGAGGCGGAGGUUGCAGUAAGCCAGGAUCAUACCACUGCAUUCCAGCCUGGGUGACAGAGUGAGACUGGGUCUCCAAAAAAAAAAAAAAGAAUAGAUACACUAUAUAUUUUAAUUUAUUGGCAUGUAAGCUAGAUUUUCCUAUUUUCAUUACAUGGCUGUAUGCAUAUGAAUCACCAGUGACUACUAACUUUUUCAAUAUAUAUGUAAAAUGUUUUAAAUUAUAUUUUUGUAGUAAUAUUUUAUAAAGCAUUGAUUUUGUUAUAUUUUUAAAUUUCUCAUACUUUAAACAAAACAGAUUUAAACAACUUCAAAGAGUUUGGAAAUAGCCAUUAUAAACAGUCUUUUAACUGAAGUUUUAUUUUUACUAAUCAUUUAAGUUGUGUUGUUCUUAUACAUAUUUAGGUUUUGAAAUUUUUAUAAAGGUCUAGGCGGGGUGCAGUGGCUCACGCCUGUAAUCCCAGCACUUUGGGAGGCCAAGGUUGGUGGAUUACCUGAAGUCAGGAGUUUUAGAUCAGCCUAGCCAACAUGGUGAAACCCCAUCUCUAUUAAAAAUACAAAAAUUAGCCAGGCGUGGUGGCAUAUGCCUGUAAUCCCAGCCACUUGGGAGGCUGAAGCAGGAGAAUCACUUGAACUCAGAAGGCGGAGGUUGUGGUGAGCUGAGAUCAUGGCCAUUGCACUCCAUCCUGGGUAACAGAGUGAGACUACAUCUCAAGAAAAAAAAAAAAAUAUAUAUAUAUAUAUAUAUAUAUAUAAAGGUCUUAAUAUCUUAAAAGUAUGAAGAGAAAUUUUCAUAGAAACAUCUUAAGGGAAACGGAUAAAAAUAAUGUUCACUUUGGGAGAAGACUUGCCAUGUGUAUGAUUGUAUACCACAAUCCUAUGAUUAGGCUAGUUAGAGGAAAAAAAAAAACCCAUAGAGUUUGUAAUCCUAGGUAUGUCAGAAACAGCUGCAACCUUUUUAAAAAACUACUUGGGUCUGAAAAGAAUUGAUUGUUGCUUUUUCAUAUUUUUCCUAAUGUUCUACUAUAUCCUCUUAAUAAAAUACAUAUUAUUGUUAGAUUUUAAAUAUUCUGACUUUUAAUGCUUGUAAUGAAAUUUUAUUAGUAUUCUUGGCUGACUUAUUUUGGCUCUUGUCUCCUACAUUUGCAACCAAAUUAUACUUUAUAUGCUAGACAAGGUUUAUGCCAGCCUAAUUGGUUGCUGGCAUUUCUUAGCCUCACAGCUGCUGUGAACUCAGCUGCGAACUGGAAAACAUAUAAUAGGACCCUGUUUUCAGAGACCAAAAGGCAAUUGUCAACAUGUAAAACUUGUUUUUGACAGCUCAAUGAAUAUAUGAGCUUUUAUGACAAAUUAAAUAGCACUAAUACCAGAUCUUAAGUAAUUAUCUUAAAGAUUAGAAAGUCUUGAAAUAUGAAUUUAUUCACUGAAGCAAAGAUGGCUUAGAUUUGCAUGUAUGUUCUGUUCAGUCAUUUGUGGCUUUUUUUUCUUUUUAAAAAUCAUGUGUCUUGAUAUUUACCAACAGAUAUUAAAAAGUUGAGAUCUUAACUGUUUGCCCUGAAAUUUCACCCUAACAAAAAAUUGAGCCUUAAGUGAGGUAAAGAUAUUUCUUAAAAUGAACUAAACAUAAAAUGACUUUGAUUAAAGAUUAUAUUUCAAAACAUUUAUUAUGUUUAUAUUCUUUGAUGUAGCAGAUUUUAUUUUCAUAAAUUUUUAACAUCUAAGUUUGGGGUGAACAUUACUUUUGUAUUACAUUGAACCAUAUGAAAUUGUCAUUUUUUUUAGGUCAAAUGGUUGAAUGUAGACUAAUGGGAAAAAAAUGACAGUAUAUCAACGUGAACUCCCUAACCAAGUUCAGAAAUGUAACCACUGUGAUUUACCUUUGUAUAAGUAGAACAUCAUCAUGUAUGAUCAAUAAACAAUGAGAUUAACAAAUCAGAUUUAUAUAUAGUAAAUGUUUUUUCCAUUAUAAUUGCUUUUUUGCCCAUUUCUAUUAUAAAUGUUUUCUUCAACAUUUAAAAAAUGUUUAGGGACUCUUAGCACUAAGCCAAAGAAGGACUAAACAAAUAUAUGAGAGGCUGUAGAAAUAUAUUAAGGACAAGCAAACUGUUAGUAAAUGGCUUAUACUGAAUAUAAUAAAAGCAUCAUCCUUUGCCUACAUUUUGUAUUACUUUGAUACUUGGCAUGAUUAUUUAUGUCUAUUGUGAUUCUAACAGUCUAUUGAUUAUAUUUGGAAUGUAACUCCAAACUUUUCUUGCAUAUUCUUUUAUUUAAAAUGCUAAAUAUAAAUCUUUCCUUACAUAAAUAUUGGCCAGAAAUAUCUUGCAUUGUGAGAAAAGUACGUUUUUAGGAAGUUUUGGUAUUAAAAUCCAAGAGGCCUUCUAUUGGGAAAAUAAUGAUUGGGGAGCUAUUCUGCAGGGUUUGCCUGUACUUUCCAAUACUGUGAGGCUGAGGUGGCAGUGGCUACUGCUGGAGUAGGAUGCUGGGAGGUGUUGAGAGAGGAACAGUGGCUUGUACUGGGGAAGGAGGAAGAUGUCAGGAAGGAACAGAGGAGGAAGAUGGCGACAUCAGGGGCAGGGGCAAAUGAGCCUUGUUUGGCCACAGCAUUGGCUUCCAAUCUUUGCAAGUUUAGUGAGAUCAUGCUGCAGAAGCAGCAUCAGGCUGAGGACACAGCAGCCCUCGAGGAGAUGUUAAUGGACAUCGGCUUCACCCAGUUACACAGGAUUGCAAUUGCCAUACACGUGGGGCUCCCAUUAUGGUUGUUCUUUGCCUAAUAUUAACCAGAUUCGUUUCAGCCUGGCCUAGUUCCAGAGCCCCCUCCACUCACCUUUUAAUUUAUCUCAAGACACUCGGCACCACAGACUGGUAGAACGGGUACAUCCAGAUCCUCACAGAAUGGUUGUCCCUACCCUGCCAAUACCCUACCACAUUGACAGCUCUCCCUAUAGUCCUGCCUACUUAUCCCCUCCCCAAGUGUCCAGCUGGUGAAGGACUAUGUCCUGGGACAAUUUCCCUGCAGAGAAGAGGUACUUAUUGUACCUAGCAUCUGCAUUUAACAAGACAAGCUCUGAUUUUGCCUUUCACACAAGUGUGAUUAACCCCAGUCCCCAGGAUACUUAUCCAGGCCCCAUACCUCCCAGCAACCUGCCCAAUCAACAUUUCUGGGUGGUAAAAUGGACUCUAAAGUACCUGCUGUUGAGAAGUUCUCCUAGGUGACAAGCAUUUGCUGAAGCCAUGGGAUACUUAGAAGCUUUCUUCAUCUUCCUCCUAACCCCGGUCCUUAUGAAGUCCCUGGAAUUAACAUCUUUCCAUCUCCUGGCCAGCCUGCCAAUGUGCCUGUCCUCCCACCUGUCAUGAAUACUGGACGUGGGAUGAGGUUCCUACCUGAUCUCACCAAUUUGCACUUUCUACCAACACUGCCCACCCCCCUGCACCCUGAGGAGACAGCCCACCCUAGCCUUAAUAGGGGCAACAGUACCUCCAAUUUGACCCACAUCGUGACUCACCUGGGCAUUAGCGAGGGCCUGGGCAUGGACUUGGGCCCAGGUUAUGAUGCCCCAGGACUUCAUUCACCUCUCAACCACCCAUCCCUGCAGUCUUCCCUAAGCAAUCCCUGAGCAGUCCUCAGCCCCAUCUUCAGGGCUCCCAUAGCCACCCCUCACUACCUGCCUUCUCCUUGGCCCACCAUGCACUGCCCACAACCUUCCUGGGCCACCCCUCACUCAGUGCUGCCCUGACUCUCCUCCUUUCAUCCCCCACUUCAUUUUCAAUCUGCCCCUACCUCGCCCAACUUCUACUCUUGGGGCCUCCCGGCACUGUUUCCAAGUACCCCUCAGCCCCCUAAGUUUGCCCGCAGGUCCUGCCAAUGCCAGAAGGUCCCAAUAGCAGCUGCCCAAACAGUUUUUGCCAAUGUCACCUACUUUGUCUUCCAUCACUCAGGGUGUCCCCCUGGAGACCAGUAAUCUGCACACCUAGUCACAUACUCCAAAGUCUCUACAGCAGUGAGAGCUGCCCUCUCAGGCCUGCUCAGUGCAGCCCUCAGGUGGGCGGCCUCUGGGCCGGCAAUUGCAUUAUGGGACAUUACCCACCUCGGCCCACUGGGCUAGGGAAAGUCUUCACUGGACAAUAAGUGACUUCACCCUAGGGAACUGGAGCAGUUCAGCAUAGAGAGCCCAUAAACCAGUCUAGUGAUGGAUCCCCCUGGCUUUUCUGAAGGGCUUGGAUUUUUAGAAGGUGAGGGGCCAGUAGCUGGUCCUCAGGAUCCUCAUACCCUCAACCACCAGAACUUGACCCAUCACUGCUCCUACUAUAACUCAAAGCCUAACGUCAUCCUUAUUGAAACUCUCCAGGUUUCUCUAAGGAGAUUGCAGCCACCCUGGCUGGAGUGCCUGGCUUUGAGGUAUCAGUAGCAGGUUGGAGUUGGGGCUAGGGCUGUAAGAUGAGCUGUGCAUGGAGCUACUGAUUCUGGAAGGGCUAAACAUGCUGAGUGACCCAGUGCCCUGCUACCCUGUUGUGCUCUGGAAUAUUCAUCACCAUCUCUCUUCUUGGCCCUGUCCCCCAUUACUGUCCAUGUCCUCCCUUACCCCAGCUAAUAGAGACUCCAGUCUGCCCCCAGAUUCUCCUUGUAGCAUGAACAAAGGAUCCCAAGAAUGAGAAAAAGCAAGGGGUUUUUCCAGGUGGCCCCUGAAUUCCAUACAUGGGUGGGCCUGGAGAAGCUCAAGGGAGGGCCAAAAGCACUUGUAACUUUGAACCAACUCCCUGGAGGUCAGAGCCUAUUGGAAAGCUGGGGAUAUAGAGGGUAACCUGGGAGGGUAACCUAGGACUCCUGGCUUGUCCAGAUUCCUAGGAGUGGACAUUGCCAGCCCCUCCUCACCACCCUUUUCCCUCUCAAUGGAGGAGAGAGCCACAGUGGAUAUUAUUUUUAAUUAAAUGUAUGUUACUAAAAAAAUCAUUCCAAAAAACUCUUUGCAAGUUUUUUUUUAACUUUACCCCCAACAGAUGACAUUUUCUACACUAAUUUAUCUUUACAACUAGAUUAAAAUGAAAUGGAAAACUUUUAAAUAUGUCUCUGUGUUUUAAGUGUUAAAAAGCUGGCCAGGCACGGUGACUCAUGCCUAUAAUCCCAGCACUUUGGGAGGCCGAGGUGGGUGGAUCACAAGGUCAGGAGUUCGAGACCAGCCUGGCCAACAUGGUGAAACUCCAUCUCUACUAAAGAUAUAAAAAAUUAGCUGGGCAUGGUGGUGCAUGCCUGUAAUCCCAGCUACUUGGGAGCCUGAGUCAGGAGAAUCGCUUGAACCAGGAGGCAGAGGUUGCAGUGAGCCAUUGCACUCUAGCCUGGGCAACAGGGGGAAACUCUGUCUCAAAAAAAAAAAAAAAAGCCAUAGAAUUUUGAAAUUAUGUUACUUUUUAAAAUGGUGGUAUUGAUUUUAUAUAACAAUGUAAACUUAGAAUUUUCAAAUCUGACCUCAUUUUCUGUGAAUCUGACCUAUGACUUAAAGAAAGUUCAUGUAAUGGCACCCUCCUAUCCCAAACAGUAAAAGGAAACCAAAAAGGCCUACACAGCUGAGCUCAAAAACAAGAUCAUGGAUUGUAAAGGAACAGGAAUUCUAAGAGAUGGGUAGGGCUGAAGUAGACAUAGAUGGCAAAAGUUUGAUUCCUGUAGGAUGAUGCAAGAGAAAGAGACUUUAAAAAAGGAGAAUUGGAGUCAGGUUCACUGUUUGAAGACAAGGACUUGUGUGACUUCUCUUAAAUGCUGUUUUUAAAAUUGCUGCUGAUUUGCACCUGGAGCUAGAUUUAUAAGAAAUUUUUUCAUCAAGGCAGGCAGUCCAGUACAGUUAUGGUAGAAAUACAGGGGUAUUCAGCCACUGUGCACUGGGAAAGUGGUACCAAUUAUUGUGGCUCUGUCUUUUCUGCUUGGUCAGGUGUCUCACCUUUAGAAAUCAUUAACAGGAUACGCAGAAAGCUUCCAUAUCUGGAAUUUGAGAAACAUUUCUAAAUAACUCAUGAGACAAAGAAUCAUGAAAAUAGAAAAACAGGUGGAACUGAACAAUAACAAAAAUACUACAUGUAAAAACUUGUAAGAUGCUGCUAAAGCAGUUCUGGGAAAUAAAUGUGUAGCUUUAGCCGCUCAUGAAGAAAAAAGAAUAAAGAUGAUGAAUGACUUAAACAUUCAUCCGAAGAAUUUAAAGGGAAAAAACAGUAAAAUAUGCCCAAAGUAAGUUGAAAGAAAGAAGUAAUAGUAGCAGAAAUUACGUACAUAAUGACACCUAAUAAAAAGGCUCAACAGGCUGGGCGCGGUGGCUCAAGCCUGUAAUCCCAGCACUUUGGGGUGCCGAGGUGGGUGGAUCACUAGGUCAACAGAUCGAGACCAUCUUGGUCAACAUGGUGAAACCCCGUCUCUACUAAAAUUACAAAAAAUUAGCUGGGCACUGUGGUGCGUGCCUGUAAUCCCAGCUGCUUGGGAGGCUGAGGCAGGAGAAUUGCCUGAACCCAGGAGGCGGAGAUUGCGGUGAGCCGAGAUCUCGCCAUUGCACUCCCGCCUGGGUAACAAGAGCGAAACUCCGUCUCAAAAAAAAAAAAAAGGCUCAACAAAGCCAGGUUUAUUCUUGGAAAAGACAAAUAAAAUGGACAAAUCCCAGUUGAAAUUAUUUAAGAGAAAAAAGUUUACUAAAAAAUUAGGAAUGAAAAUGUGGACAUCAUAUCAGAUGCCAGAGCCAUUAAACAGAUACUAUGAACUUGGUGCCAAAAAUGUGGAAACCUUAUCUAAAACAUCUAGAACAAUAUAAUUAUGAAAAGAAGAAUAAAAAAUAAUUAUCUAAUUAUUAAGGAAAUUGGAUCUUUCUAUAAUAACGCAAACCAAGAUGGUUUAACAAGUUUUUGCCUACCAAAUACUCAAGAGUCAAAUAAUUUAAUUUCACACCAACUAUUCUAGAGUACAGAAAGGGAGAGCUUUGCCACAGAAAAUCAUUUUAUAAGAUUAAUAUAACCAGCUGGGCGUGGUGGUUCAUGCCUAUAAUCCCAGCACAUUGGGAGGCUGAGGUGGGCGGAUCACCUAAGGUCGGGAGUUCCAGACCAGUCUGACCAAUAUGGCAAAACCCCAUCUCUAUUAAAAAUAAAAAAUUAGCCAGGUGUGGUGGCAUGUGCCUGUAAUCCCAGCUAUUCGGGAGGCUGAGGCAGGAGAGAAUUGCUUGAACCUGGGAGGCGGAGGUUGCAGUGAGCCGAGAUCUCACCAUUGCACUCCAGCCUCAGCGAUAGAAGGAGACUGUCUCAAAAAAAAAAAGAUUAUUAUAACCAUGAUACCAAAAUCUAAUAAGGUUGUUGAGAUGCUGGGCACAGUGGUUUACACCUGUAAUUCCAGCACUUUGAGAGGCUGAUACAGGGUAAUAGUUUGAGACCAGAAGUUCAAGACCAGCCUGGUCAACAUAGCAAGACCCCAUCUCUACAAAAAAUUAGCCAGGCAUGGUAGUGCAUGCCAAUAAUCCUUGCUACUCAGCAGGCUUAAGCAGGAGGAUCACAUGAGGCUGCAGUGAGCCAUGAUCACACCACCAUACUUAAGCCUGGGCACAGAGUGAGAUUCCCAAACUCUUAAAAAAGUGGUUUUGAGAAAGGAAAACCGCUGGCCAGUUUCAUAUCAUUGAUUAAUGAUGUGAAAAUCUAGAAUAUCAUAGCUGGAAGGUAUAAAGAAAAAAAAUAAUCCUGAACAAAACAGACAAUGCCGUUCUAGUCAGAAUCCCAACAGGUAGUUUUGUGAUUGUUGGUUUAUAUGACUUUUUGGAACUUCACAAGCUGAUUGUAAAGUUUAUACUUUAGAAUUCCUUAAGAAUACUCUUAAGGAACAAUGAAGCAGGAGGGCUUAUUCUGCUAUAUGGCAAGACUUAAUAAUAAUAAGCAAAGCUAUAAUACUAAAUACUUUUAGUUCAGGGAUAAAGAAAUAAACUCAUGCAUGUAGGCUUGAAUUGUGACACAGGUAGUAUUGCAGAUAAGUAGAGGGAAAGGGGAUUUUCAGGAUAUGGUCCUAAAAAGGAAAUUGUGUUAUCAUACAAAAAUAUCAAAAUGCCAAUGGAUUAAGGUCCCAAAUGUGAAAGGUUUUGUAAAAGUUUAUGUAUUUGAGAUGGAAUCUCACUGUCACCCAGACUUGAUUGCAGUGGCGAGAUCUUGGCUCACUGCAACCUCUGCCUCUUAGGCUCAAGCAAUUCUCCUGUCUCAGCCUCCCAAGUAGCUGGGAUUAUGGACACUCAUCACCACACCCGGCUAAUUUUUUGAAUUUUUGUAGAGUUGGGAUUUCACCAUGUUGGCCAGCCUGGUCUCAAACUCCUGAUCUCAAGUGAUCCACCCACCUCGGCCUCCCAAAGUGCUGGGAUUACAGGCCUGAGGCACCAUACCCAGCUUGUAAAACUUAGAAAGUGUAAGAGACUGUUUUAGGGAUCUCAGUCUUAGGAAAAAUUUUAUAACACACCAAAAAAAAAAAUCCAUAGUGGAAAAACACAUAUUUGACUACAUUAAAAUUAAGAAUUUAGGCCAGGUGUGGUGGCUCACACCUGUAAUCCCAACACUUUGGGAGGUUGAGAUGGCGGAUUGCCUGAGGUCGGGCAUUGGAGACCAGCCUGGCCAAUGUGGUGAUGAAACCAUGUCUCUACUAAAAAUGCAAAAAUUAGCUGGGUGUGGUAGCAGGCGCCUGUAAUCCCAGCUACUCCGGAGGCUGAGGUAGAAGAACUGCUUGAACUCUGGAGACAGAGUUUUCAGUGAGCUGAGAUGGCGCCACUGUAUUCCGGCCUGGGGGACAGAAUGAGACUCUGUCUCAAAAACAAACAAAAAAUUAAGAACCUGAAUUCAUCAAAAGGCACUAUAAAGAACAUGAAAAGAUAAGCCACAACUUUGUAGAAAAGACUUGCCAUACAUACAACAAAAGAUUAAUACCAAGGGUAUAAAGAGAAUUCCUAUAGAGAAUUAGCCAAAAGAAAAAGACCCCAACACUCAAGUCAGUACUCAAAAGGCCUGAAUGGCUAACAAGCACAAAAAUAAGCAUAAACCUCAUUAAAUCAGAGAAAUUAGAACCAUAAUAUGACAUGUUAAAUCUGGCUAAUAUUAAGUGUUUUCAUGAAUCUGGAGUAAUUGUUAGAGGAUUACAGAUCAUUACAGGUACUGUGUGUUAGGCCCAUCUUUCAUUGCUAUAAAGAAAUACUUGAUUCUUUGUAAUUUAUGAAGAAAGGGGUUUAAUUGGCUUGCAGGUCUGCAGCUUUGCAGGAAGCAUGAUACCGGCAUCUGCUCAGCUUCUGGAGAGGCCUCAUGAAGGCUAAGGGGGCGGGGGCAAAAGAGAGGGAGGUGCCACACACUUCUAAACAAUCAGAGAACAGAGCUCACUCUGAGGACAGCAUUCAUCAUCAAGUGGAUGGUGCCAAACCAUUCCUGAGAAAUCCACCCCCAUGAUCCAAUCACCUCCAUCAGGCCCCACCUCCAAUAUAGGGAUUAUGAUUCCGCAUGAGAUUUAGGCAGGGACGAAUAUACAAACUAUCACAUAGCUACUAUAGAUAGGAAACAUGGCACUAAAGAGAAAAGUUUUAUAUAUGUGGACUCAGUUAUUCUGUAUUUUUUCUCAUAUACCUAGAGAAAUUAUUGCACAUUUAUUUCAGUAAACAUAUGUAAGAAUGCCCAUAGCAUCAUUGUUCCUAAUAGCAGAAACAUAACGACUCAAAUGUCCGAUAGUAGAAUAGAUAAAAUGUGAUAUAUUCAUGCAAUAAAAUGCUAUACUGUAAUGAAAAUGAGUUAUAUACAUUUUAUGUGUACAACUUAAGUGAAUCUCAAAAAAUAGUAUUGAGCAAACAAAAAGGAACCCUCAAUUCUUAAAGUAGUGUUAAUCCAUGUAUAUGCAAUUUAAAGAGAAGGAAACUGUUUAGAUUUCUGUGUGUAUGUGUUACAUUUAAAGGUGGUAAAACUCUAAAGAAAAGCCAAAGUAUGAUUAUCUCAAAUGUCAUGGUGGAGGUUACUUUUUUUUUUUGAGAUGGAGUUUUGCUCUUGUCACCCAGGCUGGAGUGCAAUUGUGCAAUCUCAGCUCACUGCAGCCUCUGCCUCCUGGGUUCAAGCAAUUCUUCAGCAUCAGCCUCCCGAGUAGCUGGGAUUCAGGCGCACACCACCAUGCCCGGCUAAGUUCUUGUACUCUUAGUAGAGAUGGGGUUUCAUCAUGUUGGCCAGCCUGGUCUCAAACUCCUGACCUCAGGUGAUUCACCUGGCUGAACCUCCUAAGGUGUUUGUUGAGAUUAUUACAGGUGUGAGCCACUGCGCCUGGCAGUUGUUUCCUUUGGGAGGGGAACAUACAGGGUUUCAAAAGGGUUUUUUAACCUAGCUGGUGAUAGUUACACAGGUGUUUGCUCUAUUUUUUUUUUAAUAUGGAAGUAUAUGUAAUAUAAUUCGCAGUAAAGUAAAUGAUGAAUCAGAGAGUCAAAGGGCAGUGAGUUAGUGAAGAUGGAGUACAGUUUUCUUAGGUGGAUCAGAGAAAUGAGAUGGUAUUUGGAGGUGCACAUGGGAAGACUGCAGUUUCUAGGGAAAGAUAUUUCUAGUCCUGAUUAGUCUUACUGACAUCUAUGCAUGAUCUCUAUUAAUAACAAACACUCAGGCAUCUCAUUGUUUUCCCCCUAGUACCAUCAUUCUCCCAGUCAUCCAGGCUUGACACCUUCUUCUUAUGCCUAUGUUGUCACUGUAUCAUAAUUUUUUCCUUUGAAAAAUUUUUUCAUGUAUCUUAUUGUUUCUCUCAUUACUUAACACCUUUGUUAACAGGUGGUUACUAUUUGACUUUUGAAAUAAAUCAAGAGAUGUAUUUGUUUAAAAGAAAAAAAAUCAAAAUUUUAAAAGAAAAUCAAAUUUGUAUUACAAUUUAAAGAGGUAUUUGAGUAGCUCAAUGAAAUGUCGUAUAUAAGACAAUUAAAAAAAUUAUUAAAGGCAUUUUGGGAAAGGUUGGUUUUUAAAAAGAAAACAACAUUUUUAUAGACAUCUUGUGGUGCAAAUAAAAGCCCCAUGCUGCACUGGUAUUGCAGGUAGUAUAGAUGGUUCUAGUUAUCUGAUUAAUUGGCAAAAAGCAAAUGAUUAAGACUUUGUUUAAUAAUUUCUUAUUGCUGGAAUUUCAUAUUCUCUACUUGUUGUUGGAUGAGUAAACUGGAUUAUGGUAGAGAUAAGGCAACGAAUUUCUCAGUGCUGCCCUGCUCAACCUCUAGAAUUUAGUCUUUAAAGUUUAGUCUUAGAUCAGACACUUUUGACUCUGCAGACUUGUGAUUUAAGGCUUUCUGGAUGUGUGCACUGGUGUUUGAGAUCGUAGAGGUUCCAACGUUGAGGAGACUGCUAAUGCUGGCUGUUCUGUCCUUGAUUUUUUUUUUUUUUUUUUUUUGAGACGGCAUCUUGCUCUUGCCCAAGCUGGAGUGCAGUGGCGUAAUCACGGCUCACUGCAUCCUUAUCUCCUGGACUCAAGGAAUCCUUGUACCUCUCAGCCUCCCAAGUAGCUGGGGCUAUAGGCAGACAGCACCAUGCCCUGUUGAUUUUUAAUUUUUUUUUUGUAGAGUUGAGGUCUUGCUCUGUUGCCAACUUGGUCUCAAACUCCUGGGCUCAAGCCAUCCUCCUACUUCUGCCCCCCCAAAGUACUGGGAUUACAGGUAUGAGGCACUGUGCCCAGCCCCCUUGAUUUCCUUUAUCCUCUCAUUGCCAGUCUCUCCAAACUGUCUUUGGAGAUUAAGGUCCCUAUGAAUUUGUGACCUGUAGUCCUGGUAUUUUGCUCCACUGUCCCACCUUUUCUUUUGCACACCUAGUUAUGGUACAUUAAAUCACUCCUUGCCCAGAAGGGUGGGAAUACCAUGGUAGAUGCCCAACAAAAAGAAUGAUUGUAUUGGUCUUGCCUUUUGGAAUAUGCACGUAUUUUUUCCCCAUUAUCAUAUUGUGGUAACUCUACUGAUAAUUGUAUGGAGAUCCACCUUGGUAACUCUUUUUUUUUUUUCCCAACUAGAUUUGAUAGCUAGGUGUCUUUUUUCUUUAACCUCAACCACAGCCUCUUCAUUUCCUACUGAGGGUUAUUCUUCACAGUAGUCUAAUAUUCAAAUGCAUCUUCCUUAGGCUCAAAUAUCUCCUUCCUUUCUGUUGAUGAAACCAUAUCAAUGUUUUAUUAAACCCUUUUACUUUCUCCAAAACCUUUGUUGCUAUAAUCUUCUUGUCCCUACUAGUGGGUACCAAUGUUUGUGGGGCUGCCAGGGGUGAUUGGGAAAAGGAUGGCUGCCAGGUCUCAGCCUCACUGUUCAUGUUGUAGAGAGGGUGAUUGAUGAAGGGCUUGAUGCAGCAGUGGUAGGCUCCUCCCAGAUUGUGAUGGUGACUGGGCUGCUUAUGACUCUCUGGGGUCCACUCUUCAUUUCUACUACCAGUUAAACUCAUCCUCUUUUUCAUAUGCUAUGACGACCAUGCAGAUACACUGCUUAGAUGUCUCUCUAAGAAAUAAUUUCAGUUUCAGGGAGUGUAGUUAGCUGACAAUCUCCGGUUGUUAGUACCUUCAGGAUCUUUAGAUUUGGGAUUGAGAACUUGAAUUUCCUGAGAAAUCCACAUCCAAUGAUAGAGCAUGGCCUGGGUAAGGACUCCUGUAAUGGACAGUCUUGCUCUAAAGCACCCUACUGGGUUGACCAAGACUUUGCUAGAUCUUUGUCAAGGUCUGAAGCUUUCUCUGCUCAGUCCUGCUUCACAGCCACUUCCUUCCUAGGUUUUAAAUCUGUAUCAUGGUCUGAAAGUUUUCCUUUUUUAAUUUUAAUUUUUAAUUUAAUUUUGUUUUGAAGCAGAGUCUCACUUGGUUGCCCAGGCCAGAGUGCAGUGGAGCAAUCUGUUCACUGCAACCUCCGCCUCCUGAGUUUAAGUGAUUCUCCCGCUUCAGCCUCCGAAGUAGCUGGGAUUACAGGCGCAUACCACCACACUCAGAUAAUUUUUGUAUUUUUAGUAGAGAUGGGGUUUCACCAUAUUGGCCAGGCUGGUCUCAAACUCCUGACCUCAAGUGAUCUGCCCACCUUGGCCUCCCGAAAUGCUGGGAUUACAGGCAUGAGCUACUGCGCCUGACCUGGUCUGAAAGUUUUCUGUGCCCAGUCCUCUUUCCUCCCUCUUUUAUCUUGAACAAUAAACCUCUUGUACUCCUAACUCUCGUCUGCUUCUCAAAGGACCCCACAUGACACAUACUGCUUCCACUGGUUAUUUACCACCUAAUUGAUUUCUAAAAUUGAAGUAAGGAUUAUCUGAUUUCCCUUUUGUAACUCCUUUUGACUCCUCCCAGUAUUUUUUAGAUCAUCAUUUUCCUCCAUCCCUAGCACCUGCAUAUCCUCUGAUGUCCAUCUAUAUUAGUAAAAAGCACCACUGUUUACUCAGUUGCUUUUACAUCUUUCACAUUUAAGUUUAUGACCCAUCUUUUAUGGGUGCAGGGAGAAUGGAGGUGGUAUUUUGUAAGACAGGAAUCAGACAAUUAAAAAGGAGUUAUUCUAGUGAGGGACGAAGGAGGUCACAGGUAAUGCAGGUCAGAUCAUGUAGGGCUUUGUUAUAAGUCAUUAAUAGACCGUUGAAGGGACUUUAGCUUCUACUCUGUGUGAGAUGGAAUGGGGAGUCAUUGGAAGGUUUUGAGCAAAGGAGUAAUAUCUGACUUAGUUUUUACCGGGAACAUUUUGGCUGCUCUGGAGAAUAGACAGAGAGCAGAUACGUUGGAAGCAGGAAGACUAGUUGGGAGAGUAUCACAGUAAACUAAGUACAAGGCAUUGGUAGCUUGCACCAAGGUGAUAGCAGUAUAGUUGUUAAGAAUUGGCUUAUUAUCUGGGGGCAAGUCUCAAGCAGGGUCAUUUUAUUUUGUAAAAGCUCCCUAGGAGUUCCUGGUAAACAUGAGGGUUGAGAAUUUGUGCUACAUUUUAUAAAUUUUUAUAGGAAUGCCUGGACUUAAAGAUAUGUAGACAUCUUCAUCAGCUUAAUUGAAGUGGUUAGAGAAGCAUAAUGAUUAAUGGCAAGUACUUUUAAAUCUGACCAAGGUUUAGAUCCAUGCUACUUACUCACUUUGUAACCUUGAGUUUUAUUUUUCUCAUCUUUAAAUACAGAUACCUAUGUUGUAGGUAUAUUUGUUAUUAAGUGAACUAAUAUGAAUUAAAUGAGCUAGUAUCUGACAUAUGCAUGCUUAAAAAGUAGUAGCUUAGAAAAAUCUGACACAUGAAAUGAUAAAAAUUUUAGGAUUGAUAAUGUUCAGUGUUGAUGAGGAUGUGGAGGAAUAGGUCCCACUGUUGGUGAGAAUGUGUAUGAAGAGCGGUUUAGGAAUAUUUAUCAAAAUGUUAACAUUAAUGACCCACGAAUUCUCCUAGAAAUUUUAUUUGUGGAAACAUUCACACCUACAUUCAGAUAUUCAGUGUGGUAUCUUUUAAUGGCAAACAGUUGGAAAUAAUAUUCCUAAUAAAGGAAUAAAUUGUGAUAUAUUGAUUUAUGGAAUGCUAUAUGGUUAUGAAAAAUAAUAGGUAGGUCUAUAUAUACUGUCAUGGAAAGACCACUAGUAUAUAUUUUAGUUUAGUUUUUUUUUUUUUAAAGUAGCACCAAUGUAUCAUUUGAUGGUACUUAACAUCCUCACUAUUUGAAAUCUACAAGAUUAUGUUCAUUUAUCACUUACAUGGAAUUUUAUAUGAGCUCAUAUAAAAAAGGUAGGCCACAAGACCAGGCAUGGUGACUCAUGCCUAUAGUCCCAGUACUUUUGGAGACAGAGAUGGGCAGAUCGCUUAAGGCCAGGAGUUUGAAACCAGCCUGGCCAACAUGGACAAACCCUGUCCUCUACUAAAAAUACAAAAUUUAGCCAGGGCCGGGCAUGGUGGCUCACACCUGUAAUCCCAGCACUUUGGGAGGCUGAGGAGGGCAGAUCACUUGAGGUCAAGAGUUCAAGACCAGCCUGAUCAACAUGGCAAAACCCUGUCUGUACCAAAAAUACAAAAAUUAGCUGGGCGUGGUGGCACAUGCCUGUAAUUCCAGCUGCUUGGGAAGCCGAAGCAGGAGAAUUGCUUGAAUGGGAGGCAGCAGUUGCGAUAAGCUGAAAUGGCUCCACGGCACUCCAUUCUCAGUGACAGAGCAAGACUGUCUCAAAAACAAACAAACAAAAAAAAAAAAACAGCCAGGCAUGGUGGUGCACGCCUGUAAUACCAGCUGUUACUCGGGAAGCUGAGGCAAGAGCAUUGCUUGAGACUCUGUCUUAAAAACAAAAAGAGAAAAAAGAAAAGGUAGGCCGGGCACAGUGACUCAAGCCUAUAAUCUCAGCACUUUGGCAGGCCAAGGCAAGUGGAUUACCUGAGCCCAGGAGUUUGAGACUAGCUUGGGCAACAUAGCGAGACCCUGUCUCUAUUAUAAAAUAAAAUAAAAUACUCUCAGUGAGAGUAAUUUCCAUAAACAAUAAUUACCAAAUUAUUACAGUGCCCAUAUUUUCUUUAACAGUAUCAUAAGCCUCAUUAUAAUAACACUGUUUUAGGUACUAUAUAUCUGUUUUUAGACAUUUAAAGAGCUAUACAUUAUCGUAAGGUAAAUCAUAGAUGCCCUCAAGGAUUUCAUUUAGGAAAUACAUACCAAAAUUCCAUAUGUUCAGCAUUCUAUUAGGAAAUAUUGAAGAUGCAAAUAUAUUGUAUAGUUUCUGUCUGUACUUAACUAAUAACCAAAUGAAUAGGUAAGAUGAAACAGAUGAAAUAAAUUUUUUAAAAGUAUUUAAUAUAUGUAUAUAUUCUGUUGGUGUGCUUCUAGGAAUUUGUCCUAGGCAAAUAAUCCAACAAGUACAUAAUGACAAAUAUAAUAUAGUAUUCGUUGCAGUGUUUAUAAUAAUAAUAAAUUGCACAUAACCUAAGUGACCAUCAAUAGGUAUUAAAUAACUUAUGAUAAACAUAAUGAAAUAUGUAGUAAUUAAAAAUAAUUAUUUAGAUCUACAGUUAUUAACAGAUAAAACCUACAGUCUACUAAGAGGGGAAAAUAAAUUUAAUAUAUUAUGUAUAAUAUCGUCUCUCUACAGAUGGUAAGACUGGAAUAGUCAGGAAAAGCAAGGAAUAGAAUAGAUUUGGAUAGAUAGCAUAUAUAAGAGGACAUUUUAAAUUAGCAUUUCCUAACCUUUUUGAACUCAGAUUUCUUAAUUUUAAAAUUUUAUCAAUUUGCAUUAUAUAUGGUAAAAAGUGGUUUUUAAGACGUAUUUUAUAUCAGUAUAAUAACUUAAAAUUGCUUUCCAAGCCAGGUGUAGUAGCCCAUGCCUGUAAUCUCAUCACAUUGGGAGGCCAAAGUGGGUGGAUCACUUGAGGCCAGGAUGUUGAUACCAGCCUGUGUAAUGUGGCGAAACCCUGUUUCUACUAAAAAUACAAAAAUUAGCUGGGUGUGGUGGCGCAUGCCUGUAAUCUCAGCUAUUCAGGAGACUGAGGCACAAGAAUCACUUGAACCCAGGAGGCGGAGCUUGCAGUGAGCCACGAUUGCAUCACUGUACUGUCGUCUGGGUGACAGAGCAAGACUGUCUCAGAAAAAAAAAAAGAAAAAAUUUGCUUUAUAAUUGUUCUUCUUUGUUUUACAGAAUCAUUUUUGGCUCAUAGUAAGGAAACUUUCUAAUAAUUAGAACUAUUUAAGAGUUUAAGAUUUCAGGCAUUCUGUGUUACUCUGUGACCAUUUAUCAUAUACGCUGAAAAUAAACUGUAGUUCUCAUGUGAUUUACUGAUUUCCUGGAUUUGACAAGUAGCAAAUUGAUUUAUGGCCCCAUGGACAAAGUUCAUUGCCUGUGCCUGAGGGUGUGUGAAAAUCUCUCAUAAGGAAAGGUAGUGUCUUUUUUUUUUUUUAAUUUGCAAGUUUAGGAAUGCCAUAAUUUGUGACAUUUUUAACGUGUAUGCCCUAUUCCC